rnacentral:rRNA from 1 species
GAUGAACGCUGGCGGCGUGCCUAAUACAUGCAAGUCGAGCGAACAGACGAGGAGCUUGCUCCUCUGACGUUAGCGGCGGACGGGUGAGUAACACGUGGAUAACCUACCUAUAAGACUGGGAUAACUUCGGGAAACCGGAGCUAAUACCGGAUAAUAUAUUGAACCGCAUGGUUCAAUAGUGAAAGACGGUUUUGCUGUCACUUAUAGAUGGAUCCGCGCCGCAUUAGCUAGUUGGUAAGGUAACGGCUUACCAAGGCGACGAUGCGUAGACGACGUGAGAGGCUGAUCGGCCACACGGGAACGUGGACACGGUCCAGACUACUACGGUAGGGAGCAGUAGGGAAUCGGCCGCAAUGGGCGAGAGCCUGGCGGAGCAACGCCGCGUGAGUGAUGAAGGUCUUGGGAUCGUGAAACUCUGUUAUUAGGGAAGAACAAAUGUGUAAGUAACUAUGCACUUCUUGACGGUACCUAAUCAGAAAGCCACGGCUAACUACGUG